rnacentral:rRNA from 1 species
AACGAACGCUGGCGGCAUGCCUAACACAUGCAAGUCGAACGAGACCUUCGGGCUUAGUGGCGCACGGGUGCGUAACGCGUGGGAACCUGCCCUUAGGUUCGGAAUAACUCCCCGAAAGGGGUGCUAAUACCGGAUAAUGUCUUCGGACCAAAGAUUUAUCGCCUUUGGAUGGGCCCGCGUUGGAUUAGCUAGUUGGUAGGGUAAAAGCCUACCAAGGCGACGUUGCAUAGCUGGUCGGGGAGGAUGAUCAGCCACACUGGGACUGAGACACGGCCCAGACUCCUACGGAAGGCAGCAGUGGGGAAUAUUGGACGAUGGGCGAAAGCCUGAUCCAGCAAUGCCGGGUAAGUGAUGAAGGCCUUAGGGUUGUAAAGCUCUUUUACCCGGGAUGAUAAUGACAGUACCGGGAGAAUAAGCUCCGGCUAACUCCGUG